CGGGGGGAGCAAGCGUUGUUCGGAUUUACUGGGCGUAAAGGGCGCGUAGGCGGCCACCGCAAGUCGACUGUGAAAUCUCCGGGCUUAACCCGGAAAGGUCAGCCGAUACUGCGGGGCUAGAGUGCAGAAGGGGCAACUGGAAUUCUCGGUGUAGCGGUGAAAUGCGUAGAUAUCGAGAGGAACACCUGCGGCGAAGGCGGGUUGCUGGGCUGACACUGACGCUGAGGCGCGAAAGCUAGGGGAGCGAACGGGAUUAGAUACCCCGGUAGUCCUAGCCUUAAACGAUGAAUGCUUGGUGUCUGGGGUUCUAUAGUCCCCGGGUGCCGUCGCUAACGCUUUAAGCAUUCCGCCUGGGGAGUACGGUCGCAAGACUG
rnacentral:rRNA from 1 species